CCUACGGGAGGCAGCAGUGGGGAAUAUUGGACAAUGGGGGCAAUCCUGAUCCAGCCAUGCCGCGUGUGUGAAGAAGGCCCUCGGGUUGUAAAGCACUUUCAGUGAGGAAGAACGCCUGGUGGUUAAUACCCAUCAGGAAAGACAUCACUCACAGAAGAAGCACCGGCUAACUCCGUGCCAGCAGCCGCGGUAAUACGGAGGGUGCGAGCGUUAAUCGGAAUUACUGGGCGUAAAGCGCGCGUAGGUGGCUUGAUAAGCCGGUUGUGAAAGCCCCGGGCUCAACCUGGGAACGGCAUCCGGAACUGUCAAGCUAGAGUGCAGGAGAGGAAGGUAGAAUUCCCGGUGUAGCGGUGAAAUGCGUAGAGAUCGGGAGGAAUACCAGUGGCGAAGGCGGCCUUCUGGACUGACACUGACACUGAGGUGCGAAAGCGUGGGUAGCAAACAGGAUUAGAUACCCGAGUAGUC
rnacentral:rRNA from 1 species